GACGAACGCUGGCGGCGUGCCUAAUACAUGCAAGUUGAGCGAUGAAGAUUGGUGCUUGCACCAAUUUGAAGAGCAGCGAACGGGUGAGUAACGCGUGGGGAAUCUGCCUUUGAGCGGGGGACAACAUUUGGAAACGAAUGCUAAUACCGCAUAACAACUUUAAACAUAAGUUUUAAGUUUGAAAGAUGCAAUUGCAUCACUCAAAGAAGAUCCCGCGUUGUAUUAGCUAGUUGGUGAGGUAAAGGCUCACCAAGGCGAUGAUACAUAGCCGACCUGAGAGGGUGAUCGGCCACAUUGGGACUGAGACACGGCCCAAACUCCUACGGGAGGCAGCAGUAGGGAAUCUUCGGCAAUGGACGAAAGUCUGACCGAGCAACGCCGCGUGAGUGAAGAAGGUUUUCGGAUCGUAAAACUCUGUUGGUAGAGAAGAACGUUGGUGAGAGUGGAAAGCUCAUCAAGUGACGGUAACUACCCAGAAAGGGACGGCUAACUACGU
rnacentral:rRNA from 1 species